rnacentral:rRNA from 1 species
GACGAACCGUGCGAACGUUGUUCGGAAUCACUGGGCUUAAAGGGCGCGUAGGCGGGUGCUCAAGUCCGGGGUGAAAUCCUCCAGCUCAACUGGAGAACUGCCUCGGAUACUGGGUGUCUCGAGUGUGGUAGGGGUAUGCGGAACUAUCGGUGGAGCGGUGAAAUGCGUUGAUAUCGAUAGGAACUCCGGUGGCGAAGGCGGCAUACUGGACCACUACUGACGCUGAUGCGCGAAAGCCAGGGGAGCAAACGGG